UACGGAGGUGGCACGCGUUGCUCGGAAUCACUGGGCGUAAAGGGCGCGUAGGCGGGGAGGUAAGUCGGGUGUGAAAUCCCUCGGCCCAACCGAGGAACUGCGCCCGAGACUGCUUCUCUUGAGUCCCGGAGAGGAAGAUGGAAUUCCCGGUGUAGCGGUGAAAUGUGUAGAGAUCGGGAGGAACACCGGUGGCGAAGGCGGUCUUCUGGACGGUGACUGACGCUGAGGCGCGAAAGCGUGGGGAGCAAACGGG
rnacentral:rRNA from 1 species